rnacentral:rRNA from 1 species
AUUGAACGCUGGCGGCAUGCUUUACACAUGCAAGUCGAACGGUAACAGGUUAAGCUGACGAGUGGCGAACGGGUGAGUAAUGCAUCGGAACGUGCCCGGUCGUGGGGGAUAACGCAGCGAAAGCUGCGCUAAUACCGCAUACGAUCUGAGGAUGAAAGCGGGGGACCGUAAGGCCUCGCGCGAUCGGAGCGGCCGAUGUCAGAUUAGGUAGUUGGAAGGGUAAAGGCUCACCAAGCCGACGAUCUGAAGCUGGUCUGAGAGGACGACCAGCCACACUGGGACUGAGACACGGCCCAGACUCCUACGGGAGGCAGCAGUGGGGAAUUUUGGACAAUGGGCGCAAGCCUGAUCCAGCAAUGCCGCGUGCAGGAAGAAGGCCUUCGGGUUGUAAACUGCUUUUGUACGGAGCGAAAAGGCUCUCUCUAAUACAGGGGGCUCAUGACGGUACCGUAAGAAUAAGCACCGGCUAACUACGUGCCAGCAGCCGCAGUAA